GUAUGGAGAGCUCAGUCGGUAGAGCAUGAGACUCUUAAUCUCAGGGUCGUGGGUUAGAGCCUCACUUCUCGUG
rnacentral:tRNA from 1 species